rnacentral:rRNA from 1 species
GACGAACGCUGGCGGCGUGCCUAACACAUGCAAGUCGAGCGAGUGAAUCUCCUUCGGGAGUGAAGCUAGCGGCGGACGGGUGAGUAACACGUGGGCAACCUGCCUCAUAGAGGGGAAUAGCCUUCCGAAAGGGAGAUUAAUACCGCAUAAGAUUGUAGCUUCGCAUGAAGUAGCAAUUAAAGGAGCAAUCCGCGAUGAGAUGGGCCCGCGGCGCAUUAGCUAGUUGGUGAGGUAACGGCUCACCAAGGCGACGAUGCGUAGCCGACCUGAUAGGGUGAUCGGCCACAUUGGGACUGAGACACGGCCCAGACUCCUACGGGAGGCAGCAGUGGGGAAUAUUGCACAAUGGGGGGAACCCUGAUGCAGCAACGCCGCGUGAGUGAUGACGGCCUUCGGGUUGUAAAGCUCUGUCUUCAGGGACGAUAAUGACGGUACCUGAGGAGGAAGCCACGGCUAACUACGUGUCAGCCGCCGCAGUAAUAC